GAAUACUAAGGUAGGCCUAGUUUUAAACAGUUACUGUAAACUUUUACAAACUGAACUAAUUUUGCAACAUUCUUCAAUGCUUUUGUAUAAGUCUGAGACAUAAUGUCUAUUUCAUUUUAUUUUUUUUUAAGUUUUCUAGGUUUAUAAUUGCAAUUUGAAUUGCAAAGCAAAAAAGCUUGUGUGAUGGCAAUAUUUAACAUAAGACAAAUUUGUUGAUAAGCUCGCAACAUUGUUUUCAGACGAUAAAUAAAUCUAAAUUUUAUUUGGAAAAGAGGUAGAAUGCAACAUUCAAAAAGUGACUUCUAGAUCAAGUCUGUAUAUCUGUCGAAAACCCAAUUGUAAAGUUAAAGCGAUGCAAUCGCCGAGCCCAUAUCUCAAUCUUUCUGAAUAUAUAUGUCAAAGACCGUUCUACAAAUUUGUGACAUUUUCUGUAUUUCUUUUUGUUAAGGCUUUACCUGAAUAUUAGCGCUAACAUUCAGGUAAAGCUAUAGCUACCAAUUAUUUUUUUAAAUAAAACUUUUACUAAUUA